rnacentral:rRNA from 1 species
GACAGAGGGUGCAAACGUUGUCCGGAAUCAUUGGGCGUAAAGAGCUCGUAGGCGGCUUAGUAAGUCGGGUGUGAAAACUCUAGGCUCAACCUAGAGACGCCACCCGAUACUGCUAUAGCUAGAAUCCAGUAGGGGAGUGUGGAAUUCCCAGUGUAGCGGUGAAAUGCGCAGAUAUUGGGAGGAACACCAGCGGCGAAGGCGGCACUCUGGGCUGGUAUUGACGCUGAGGAGCGAAAGCGUGGGUAGCGAACAGG